GUCGUUUUUUCGCUUCAAAAUAAUAUACAACUUUUUAGCUUAAACAAAAAAGAAACUUCACAACUAUCUAGCAAAAGUGACAGAUAUAGGAGCGAAAUACAUAAAUAAGAUACGAAAAGGCUUAACGGGGCAUGUAUGUCGUGACCUUUGCACCCAAAAGUAAAGCCACCAUCUCAUUCCCAGCCGCCUGUUGCCCCUCAACUGGGUCAGACAUGGCAUCGGUAAUGAGACUGCCAAUACCGCCGAUGGAUAUGCUGAUGUUAAUGGUGGUGAUGAUGAGCAGAUGAGCGGAUGAGGAUGACAAGGACUACGAGAAGCGGCGGAAUGGAGAUGCUGAUGAUGGCGGUUGGAUGAUGAGGAUGAUGUGCAGCUGACAUUAUAAACAAUUUCGCAGCCAUUGGCGCAGUUUAAUUAAAACGGCGACCAAAAAUAUUCAACUAUAAUCUAUUGCAGGCAAAUAAAAGCAAGUGAGUACGGAGAA